UGGGGAAUAUUGCACAAUGGGGGAAACCCUGAUGCAGCGACGCCGCGUGAACGAAGAAGGUAUUCGUAUCGUAAAGUUCUGUCCUAUGGGAAGAUAAUGACAGUACCAUAGAAGAAAGCUCCGGCUAAAUACGUGCCAGCAGCCGCGGUAAUACGUAUGGAGCGAGCGUUGUCCGGAAUUAUUGGGCGUAAAGGGUACGCAGGCGGUUUAAUAAGUCGAAUGUUAAAGAUCGGGGCUCAACCCCGUAAAGCAUCGGAAACUGAUAAACUUGAGUAGUGGAGAGGAAAGUGGAAUUCCUAGUGUAAUGGUGAAAUACGUAGAUAUUAGGAGGAAUACCAGUAGCGAAGGCGACUUUCUGGACACAAACUGACGCUGAGGUACGAAAGCGUGGGGAGCAAACAGG
rnacentral:rRNA from 1 species